rnacentral:rRNA from 1 species
UACAGAGGGUGCAAGCGUUAUUCGGAAUUACUGGGCGUAAAGCGUGCGCAGGCGGUUCGUUAAGUCAGAUGUGAAAGCCCCGGGCUCAACCUGGGAACUGCAUUUGAAACUGGCGGGCUUGAGUGUGGCAGAGGGGGGUGGAAUUCCGCGUGUAGCAGUGAAAUGCGUAGAGAUGCGGAGGAACACCGAUGGCGAAGGCAGCCCCCUGGGCCAACACUGACGCUCAGGCACGAAAGCGUGGGGAGCAAACAGG